rnacentral:rRNA from 1 species
AAGAAUAAAACAAAGGUUUUAUUUGCUCUAAGAUUUUUUUAUCUCGUGUUGUAGUAGUUAAGGUAAGCUAGAACUAGCUUUAUUCUAUACACGUAAUCGAAACUGAGAGGUUGAUCGAUCACAAUGUGGCCUGAACAAAGCCCAUGACAAUUGUAGCAGCAGUGAGGAAUAUUGGUCAAUAGCCUAACGGCUGAACCAGCAACUUGGAGGAAUGAAGAGCAAUAGCUGACUGCAUUAAUUUAAAGUGUUAUUUAAUUUAUAAUGCAGUUACUACUAGGUAGUUUAAAUUUCUGGGUAGAGUUUUGAUGAUGACAUUCUCUAUAGAGGUCUUGACCAAAUUACGUGCCAGCAGUCGCGGUAAUACGUAGAAGACAAGUGUUAUUCAUCUUUAUUGGGUUUAAAGCGUACCAAGACGGUUAAUAAAGCCUAAAAUAAAUAAAAAAAUAGGGGACACAUUAACUAGAGUUAUAUGAAAAGAAGCACUAAGGUACUGUUGAGUGUAGAGAUGAAAUUCUUUUAUACCAGAUGAUUGGCACAGAUUUAGGCGAAGGCAUCUUCUUAUGUAAUAACUGACGUUGUAGGACGAAGGCUUUUGAAGUGAACAGGAUUCGAUACCCUAUUAAUCUAAGCAGAAAAUGAUGAAUGUCAUAGGUUGAAUAUUGUUCAGUCUAUAAAUGAAAGUGUAAGCAUUCCACCUCAAGAGUAAUUUGGCAACAUUGGAACUGAAAUCAUUAGACCGUUUCUGAAACCAGUAGUGAAGUAUGUUGUUUAAUUAGAUGAUCCACAAAAAACCUUACCACAAUUUGAAUAUAUUUACAAGCGCUGCACGGCUGUCUACAGUUAAUGUCGUGAGAUUUUGGUUAGUUCCAUAAAAUUAACGUGAGCCCUUACUUUAUUUGUAAAUAAAGUA